CUGGCUCUUUAAGGCAGAGAAGUACAAUGGAAACAAAUACAGAGGCACCAUCCACCAAGGCUUGCAGCUCAAGUUAUUGCUGAACAUCUAGAUGCAAGUGUUGUGUAAUCACUGGGAAAAGAGAAAGAAAAAGUAAAAAAACAGGUAAAAUGUUUUCAGUGAAGUAUAGAAC
rnacentral:lncRNA from 1 species